UACAGAGGGGGCAAGCGUUAUUCGGAAUUAUUGGGCGUAAAGGGCUCGUAGGCGGUGAAUCGGGUUGAAAGUGAAAGUCGCCAAAAAGUGGCGGAAUGCUCUCGAAACCAAUUCACUUGAGUGAGACAGAGGAGAGUGGAAUUUCGUGUGUAGGGGUGAAAUCCGUAAAUAUACGAAGGAACGCCAAAAGCGAAGGCAGCUCGCUGGGUCCCUACCGACGCUGGGGUGCGAAAGCAUGGGGAGCGAACAGG
rnacentral:rRNA from 1 species